rnacentral:rRNA from 1 species
UUUUAGCCUUCUUACAAUAGCGUAAAUGUGCUCAUAGACCUAAAAUUUAAUCAAAUAAGGUACAGCCUAUUUGAAUUAGGGUACAACCUGCAACAGGGGGUAAUGUUUUAAGCUACGUGACCAAGUAGGCCUAAAAGCAGCCACCUUUAAAAAAGCGUUACAGCCUUAUCACACCACACCAUUAAUUCCAGCCUCAGCCCAAAACCCCUUAUUAAUACUGAAUGACUCCAUACUUAUAUGGAAGACCUUAUGUUAAAACUAGUAACAAGAAUAACUAUUCUCCCACAAAUGUAAGUGUAAGCCGAAAUGGACCACCCAUCGACACUUACCGCUAAUGAACACACAGUAGUAACACACCAAGAAAACCCUACUCCCACCAGCGUUAACCUUACACAAGAACUUUUCUGGAAAGAUUAAAAAAUGGGGAAG